rnacentral:lncRNA from 1 species
GUGCCAAUUACUUUCGAGGUGCCAUUGGAGAACAAGGACCGUAAGGAUAGGGUAAAAAUGAAAAGGAAGGUCCAAUUUUGAUGGGAGAGGGAUUUAAAAGGGAUUAUGGCUCGAGAAAAUAAAAAAUGGAAAGAUAGAGCCUUGUAGCAAUUCAAUUAAGAAAUCCAUCCUAGACACAGGGGUGGACUCAUGCUUAAUCAAAAGUCGGCUUUUGAGGAGGGGUCGACUCUAAUGAGACUAGGAGUCGGCUCCUCACAGAACUAUUUUUUCAAGAAUACAUGAGUUGACUACUCUAAUCCAAGCGUCGAC